rnacentral:rRNA from 2 species
AGAGUUUGAUCCUGGCUCAGAACGUACGCUGGCGGCACGCCUAACACAUGCAAGUCGAACGCAGUAGCAAUACUGAGUGGCGAACGGGUGAGUAUAAUGUGGGUAUCUGCCUUUUGGUUUGGAAUAACACGAGGAAACUUGUGCUAAUACCGGAUAAGCCUUCACGGGGAAAGUUUUAUACGCCAAAAGAUGAGCCCGCACUUGAUUAGCUAGUUGGUAAGGUAAAAGCUUACCAAGGCUACGAUCAAUAGCUGAUCUGAGAGGAUGAUCAGCCACAUUGGGACUGAGACACGGCCCAAACUCCUACGGGAGGCAGCAGUGGGGAAUCUUGCACAAUGGGGGAAACCCUGAUGCAGCGAUGCCGCGUGAGUGAAGAAGGCCUUUGGGUUGUAAAGCUCUUUCGUCGGGGAAGAAAAUGACUGUACCCGAAUAAGAAGGUCCGGCUAACUUCGUGCCAGCAGCCGCGGUAAUACGAAGGGACCUAGCGUAGUUCGGAAUUACUGGGCUUAAAGAGCUCGUAGGUGGUUAGAAAAGUUGGUGGUGAAAGCCCAAGGCUUAACCUUGGAACUGCCCCCAAAACUUUUUGACUAGAGUAUGAUAGAGGUAAGCGGAAUUUCUAGUGUAGAGGUGAAAUUCGUAGAUAUUAGAAAGAACACCAAUUGCGAAGGCAGCUUUCUGGAUCAUUACUGACACUGAGGAACGAAAGCAUGGGUAGCGAAGAGGAUUAGAUACCCUCGUAGUCCAUGCCGUAAACGAUGUGUGUUAGACGUUGGAAAUUUAUUUUCAGUGUCGCAGGGAAACCGAUAAACACACCGCCUGGGGAGUACGACCGCAAGGUUAAAACUCAAAUGAAUUGACGGGGACCCGCACAAGUAGUGGAGCAUGUGGUUUAAUUCGAAGAUACGCGCAGAACCUUACCAACACUUGACAUGUUCGUCGCGACUCUAAGAGAUUAGAGUUUUCGGUUCGGCCGGACGAAACACAGGUGCUGCAUGGCUGUCGUCAGCUCGUGUCGUGAGAUGUUGGGUUAAGUCCCGCAACGAGCGCAACCCUCACUUUUAGUUGCCAUCAUUAAGUUGGGCACUCUGAAAGAACUGCCAGUGAUAAGCUGGAGGAAGGUGGGGAUGACGUCAAGUCCUCAUGGCCCUUACGUGUUGGGCUACACACGUGCUACAAUGGUAUCUACAACAGGAAGCAAGACUGCGAAGUUAAGCAAAUCCCUAAAAGAUACCUCAGUUCGGAUUGCACUCUGCAACUCGAGUGCAUGAAGCUGGAAUUACUAGUAAUCGUGGAUCAGCGUGCCACGGUGAAUGCGUUCCCGGGUCUUGUACACACCGCCCGUCACACCAUGGGAGUUGGUUCUACCUUAAGGCAAGGCUUCAAACCCUUGACCACGGUAUAGUCAGCGACUGGGGUGAAGUCGUAACAAGGUAACC